UGAACAUUCACCUUGUGACCUUGGACUUAGCGGUCAUAUCUUACUUGAAGGACUGGGCGAGGCUACUGAAACCCAUCAGUGUUAUCUAGCAUCUGUAAAAAUUGAAGUAUUUGCCAAGCAAUCCUUGGCCUCAAAACUUAACAAUUAGUAACAUGCACAUGUCCAUGGACAAAAUACACAUCUCUAUCCAAAAAUUAGCACUUGCAAUAUAAAAGAGAGACUUUCAGAAAAUUUGAUGAAUCAGAACUUAUGUCCCCAUGG
rnacentral:misc_RNA from 1 species